rnacentral:rRNA from 1 species
UACCAGCACCCCGAGUGGUCGGGACGUUUAUUGGGCCUAAAGCAUCCGUAGCCGGUUCUACAAGUCUUCCGUUAAAUCCACCUGCUUAACAGAUGGGCUGCGGAAGAUACUAUAGAGCUAGGAGGCGGGAGAGGCAAGCGGUACUCGAUGGGUAGGGGUAAAAUCCGUUGAUCCAUUGAAGACCACCAGUGGCGAAGGCGGCUUGCCAGAACGCGCUCGACGGUGAGGGAUGAAAGCUGGGGGAGCAACCGGG